AAAAUUUUUAAAGUCGAACAGACUUAAUCUUUUAGCUGCUACACCAAAAUUUAAUUUUAAUCCAACAUCGAGGUCGCAAUCUUUAUUAUCGAUUUGAACUCUCCAAUAAAAUUACG
rnacentral:rRNA from 1 species